GUCUACGGCCAUGCCACCCUGAACGUGCUUGUCUGAUCUCGGAAGCUAAGCUGGGUCGGGCCUGGUUAGUACUUGGAUGGGAGACUACCUAGGAAGACUAUAUGCUGUAGGCA
rnacentral:rRNA from 1 species